CCUGCGGAAGGAUCAUUACCGAGUUGAUUCGGGCUCCGUCCGAUCCUCCCACCCUUUGUAUACCUACCUCUGUUGCUUUGGCGGGCCGCGGUCUUCCGCGGCCGCCCCCCGAUUUUGGGGGGUGGCUAGUGCCCGCCAGAGGACUAUCAAACUCCAGUCAGUAAACGUUGCAGUCUGAAAAAAAUAUUAAAUAAACUAAAACUUUCAACAACGGAUCUCUUGGUUCUGGCAUCGAUGAAGAACGCAGCGAAAUGCGAUAAGUAAUGUGAAUUGCAGAAUUCAGUGAAUCAUCGAAUCUUUGAACGCACAUUGCGCCCCUUGGUAUUCCGGGGGGCAUGCCUGUUCGAGCGUCAUUUCAACCCUCAAGCUCUGCUUGGUAUUGGGCACCGUCCUUUGCGGGCGCGCCUCAAAGACCUCGGCGGUGGCGUCUUGCCUCAAGCGUAGUAGAAUACACCUCGCUUCGGAGCGUAAGGCGUCGCCCGCCGGACGAACCUUCUGAACUUUUCUCAAGGUUGACCUCGGAUCAGGUAGGGAUACCCGCUGAACUUAAGCAUAUCAAUAAGGCGGAGAGGAU
rnacentral:rRNA from 1 species